AGGUAACCCUGAUCUUAAGCAUGCUGUUUUUUCUUUAUUUUGAACAGGUUUUAAAUAUAUCCAAUGACUCAGUCAAGUGUCUAAUGCUAGGUGGGAUAAAGUAGAGCUCACAGGGACUGACAGAUUGUGGUGCUGCACCCAAGGACCCAUCCAGAUGUGCACUUUUACCCUCAGGUGUAUGCAGACAGUGUGUUUGUUCCUGUGCUGGGAAUCCCACCGGUGUGCAGACCGCCUUGAUUGCUCUUCCAGACAGGAACUGUGUGAUUAGACUGCCAGACCAGGAUUAUUUGACUUAUUGGAAUAAGUCAGAAGUGGCAGCGCUGACACCAAAAGCAGAAGGGAACACGGAGCUGAGCAUAACGCCACGCUCGGUAUAUGGAGCGCCGAGGCUGCUGUGACUCACAUCACGACGAUGUCAAGAAGGCGUAUUUCUUCCAUGGAGUGAUGCUGCUCCGGUGGUGAUGCUAUUUCCAACAGUUGGAGCAUGAUGCAGUUGUGAUAUUUUCUGACAGCUGUUACAACAGGCACAGACUCAGGAGAUCUGGGUCUUAUUCCUAGUGCUGCUAUUGCUGUUUUGAGAGACCUUGGACAAGCCACUUCCCCUCAGCUUGCCAAGACAUCAAAUGGAGAGAGAUGAUGAUACUGACCUUCAUAUAUCCUCCUAAAUACUGCCGUCAGGGGAGCCCUGCAUCCUCCCCUGUGGUCCCUGGGGUUGCUGCAGAAGAUGAGUUUCACCACGAUAACCUUUGCAGCCUCUUCGGGGUACCACAAGCACAGGCCAGCACAUGGUAGGCCGCAUCCCUGUUGGGAGAUUGAACUGAGAAGACUUCAGCUGAGCCCACUUCAUUCAUGAACAAGUGAUGGAGGUUGCAUGCAACAACAAAAUCUGUCAUAGGGCCCAAUCUAAGAUCUAUCUGAGCUGAG
rnacentral:lncRNA from 1 species